AUUGAACGCUGGCGGCAGGCCUAACACAUGCAAGUCGAACGAGUGGCGGACGGGUGAGUAAUGUCUGGGAAUCUGCCUGAUGGAGGGGGAUAACUACUGGAAACGGUAGCUAAUACCGCAUACCAUCAGAUGUACCCAGAUGGGGGUAGCUUGUGGGUGGGGUAACGGCUCACCAAGGCGACGAUCCCUAGCUGGUCUGAGAGGAUGACCAGCCACACUGGAACUGAGACACGGACCAGACUCCUACGGGAGGCAGCAGUGGGGAAUAUUGCACAAUGGGCGCAAGCAUGAUGCAGCCAUGCCGCGUGUAUGAAGAAGGCCUUCGGGUUGUAAAGUACUUUCAGCGGGGAGGCGUUACCCGCAGAAGAAGCACCGGCUAACUCCGUGCCAGCAGCCGCGGUAAUAC
rnacentral:rRNA from 1 species